GAAGUGUAUGGGAUUAUAGUGAGAUUUCUAAUCUUACUUUAGGCGGUUCAACUCCGUUUACAUUUCU
rnacentral:tRNA from 1 species